rnacentral:rRNA from 1 species
AGAGUUUGAUCAUGGCUCAGAAUCAACGCUGGCGGCGUGCCUAACACAUGCAAGUCGAGCGAGAAAAGGGGGGCAACUCCCUGAGUAAAGCGGCGCACGGGUGAGUAACACGUGGGUAAUCUGCCCUGGAGUGGGGAAUAACACCGGGAAACCGGUGCUAAUACCGCAUACGAUCACAGAGUCUGCGGAUUUUGUGAUGAAAGGAGCAAUUCGCUCUAGGAGGAGCCCGCGGCUGAUUAGCUAGUUGGUGAGGUAAUGGCUCACCAAGGCUACGAUCAGUAUCCGGUCUGAGAGGACGGUCGGACACACUGGAACUGAGACACGGUCCAGACUCCUACGGGAGGCAGCAGUGGGGAAUUUUUGGCAAUGGGGGCAACCCUGACCAAGCAACGCCGCGUGGGUGAUGAAGUCUCUUGGGACGUAAAACCCUUUCGACGGGGAAGAAAACCGCAAGGUUUGACGGUACCCGUAGAAGAAGCCCCGGCUAACUCCGUGCCAGCAGCCGCGGUAAUACGGGGGGGGCAAGCGUUGUUCGGAAUUACUGGGCGUAAAGGGCGCGUAGGCGGCUCGCUAAGUUGGAUGUGAAAACUCUGGGCCCAACCCAGAGCCUGCAUCCAAAACUGGCGGGCUAGAGUUCUGGAGGGGGUAGCGGAAUUCCUGGUGUAGCGGUGAAAUGCGUAGAUAUCAGGAGGAACACCGGUGGCGAAGGCGGCUACCUGGACAGAAACCGACGCUGAGGCGCGAAAGCUAGGGGAGCAAACAGGAUUAGAUACCCUAGUAGUCC